UCUAGGACCCAGGACUGGACAAGACACUGAGUUGAUGGGUGAGCCCAUUGCAGUCCACUAUUUAGAGCAGGUUUGACCAUGGCCGUGGACAUUGAUGACCCAAAGAGUGGUUUCCGCCACUGCGAAGUGGUUCUGUUCAUCAAUGAAGAGGUGACACAGAAUGGUGGUGGCCCUGGUUUCUACCUGACCUUCCACUCACGGCCCUGGAAGGAUAUAGAAGAUGGCCUGAAGUCUGUAGUGGUUGAUACCCAAGUACCGCGUUCCAUCAAGAGGGCCUGUGCCUGGAGUGCUCUGGCCCUAGGAGUCAGGGUUGCUAUGAGACAGAGAGAAAAACAGUUACAACGUGUUCAGCAGCUGCAUGACCGGGUAGAAGAGCUUGAGGCAGCCACCUGGACUUUGGCCACAGACCUGCAACGGCUGCGUGAGGAACGUGAUGAAGUGGUCUCUGAGCUUCAUAAUGCCAAAGAGCACCUGAAGCAAGUGAAGUUUGAGCGAGAUAUGUUGCAAAGGAAGAUCAUUGAGUUCGAGCUGUCACAGCAACUCCUUGCCCAGUCACCAGAUGCUGAUUAUCCAGGCACUCCACCAAGGCCUCUAGUUGCCAAAGAAAAUAGAGAGGCUCUGGACACAGACUUGCAGAAUGGGCAGUGUGCAGUGUGCCCGAAGAAAGACCAGAUGGCAUCCCUAACAGAGUACUCUCAAAAGGGCAAGGAGGCUAUCCAUCAUCCCCUAGCUCGCUAGCUGCUGCAGGAUCUCUGUGUCCAGACAUGAGGAACCAAAUUCAUGGACAAAAACAAAUCUAGAUAUAACCAGAGUUCUAGAUACUCUGUGCGGGGCUGAAG